UGGUUCUUUUUAUUAUUUUGCUGUUAGAUUAUUUUGAAAGAAUGCAUUUUAAUCAUAGACUAGAAUAUUAUAAAUUUUAAUUAAGUAAAAAUAGCUGUAGGUUUUAUAUAUUUUACAAAUUUCAGUUUGGUAAAUGUUUUGUAACUAAAAUGCGUAAAUUAAAUAGAAGUGUUUCAAUUUUAAAAUGUGUACGGAGAUUCACGAUGCUUAUAAUACCAAUUUUACCGAUGUAUUCUUUAGCUUUGUUGGUCCUUUACGCCCAUACAAAGGAUAAUCCCCAUUUAAGAGACUCCGGAUUGGAACCGGGUAAAAUCGAUGUCAGAGACUCUCAUCAGCCCAUGAUAGAACAAAUUGUGCACAGCUGGUUGAGCAGACUGGGCAGACUUAAAUUGCUGAUGCCUGUUAAAUAUUCGCUGGAAGACUUGGAAGCACAAAUGAUUUGGUUUUAUUAAAUUAUAACAAGGUUAGGGGACUUAAUCAACUAUGUACCUAGGUACUUACUUCAUUUCAUUAUUUAUUGAACUUUAGAUUCAUUCCUGAAAUAGCAUAACUAUUAAGCUAAAUAGUGUAAUAACUAACUAGCUACCUUACCUUUAACUACCUACUUAAUAAAGUCAAAAUACUGAAUUUGUUAAAUA